UGGCCAUAUCAAGUUGAAACACUGGUUCUCAUACAAUCACCAAAGUUAAGCAAUGUCAAGCCUGAUCAGUACUUAGAUGGGUGACCAGAUGGAAUAACCAGGUGCUGUAAG